rnacentral:rRNA from 1 species
GACGAACGCUGGCGGCGUGCUUAACACAUGCAAGUCGAGCGGUAAGGCCCUUUCGGGGGUACACGAGCGGCGAACGGGUGAGUAACACGUGGGUGACCUGCCCUCAGCUCUGGGAUAAGCCUGGGAAACCGGGUCUAAUACUGGAUAUGACUCCAUGACGCAUGUUGUGGGGUGGAAAGCCUUGUGCGGCUGAGGAUGGGCCCGCGGCCUAUCAGCUUGUUGGUGGGGUGAUGGCCUACCAAGGCGACGACGGGUAGCCGGCCUGAGAGGGCGACCGGCCACACUGGG